rnacentral:rRNA from 1 species
CGUGGGUAACCUGCCCAAGAGAUCGGGAUAACACCUGGAAACAGAUGCUAAUACCGGAUAACAACAGAUGAUGCCUAUCAACUGUUUAAAAGAUGGUUCUGCUAUCACUCUUGGAUGGACCUGCGGUGCAUUAGCUAGUUGGUAGGGUAACGGCCUACCAAGGCGAUGAUGCAUAGCCGAGUUGAGAAACUGAUCGGCCACAUUGGGACUGAGACACGGCCCAAACUCCUACGGGAGGCAGCAGUU